CUGGAAUCCGGGGGGAUGCAGCUGUGCGGGGGGCUUUGAACCCACGUGCAUCCAGGGUGGGGAUUUUAAAUCCACAGGGAUCCAGGGGUCGGGAAGGUCUCAGCUCCUCAGAAUCCUCAGGUACUCCCGGCUGCCGCGGUUCACUCACGGAGGGCUUUGAUUUAGUGUCACAAAAUUCCUGGGGACAAGAGCCGGGAGCGGCUCCUGCUCGGGGUUCGUACCGCGGCUGGCGGGGCGAGCGGGAUCGGAGCUUUUUUGGGGAGAAAAGGAGCGGCUGUGCGGCUCCACGGCCGCGGGGAAGAGCCCGUCCCUCGCCCCGGGGACACCGGCGCCGCUCGGAGCCGGGACAUCGCGACCUGGAGCCCUCCUGGCCACGCCCACUAAGCCAAUUUCCCUGCCCAUGUCCCCGCCCAUAAAGCACUAACCCCGCCCCUGCCUCGUGGCCACGCCCAUGUCCCCACCCUGUCAUCUUCCCCACCCUCAUACCGCCCCUUUGUCCCUGGCCACGCCCAAAUCCCGCCCCGAUGACUCCUCCCCAUUUAAAGCCCGCCCUCGACCCCACCCAUGCCCCACCCAUUCACUGGCCCCACCCUCUGACCUUACUCCCGCCCAUGUCCCCAUCCCAAAAGCGACAUCAGGCCACGCCCCUCGGCCACGCCCAGGCUCUCAACCCCUCCCCUCAUCCAUUGACCACGCCCCGAAACCCACCCCUCAACAACUGGCCACGCCCCCACCAUUCCGUAAUUAUCUGGCCACGCCCACCACACUCCGCCAUUCAUUGGCCACACCCCUCCCCGUCAGUCAUUGCUUGGCCACGCCCACCCCCGCCCCUCCCCGCGCGGUGGUGGCGCCCCCCCGCGGCCAGCUCAGGCGUUUUUCCCUUUUCCCACACCUUUUAUUUUUCCCUCCCCUUUUUUCCAUAAAAAUUUAUAAUAAAAGCCUUCCUCUCGCGCCGUAUACAAAAUAUUCACUCUACCGAAUAAAUAAACCACGAACGUCU